AGGGACACACCUGCGCGGCGGGACCUGUCUCCUGAGGCUGGGUGGUGCAGCAGGUUCUAGCGCCGGGGCGUGGCUGGCCGCGGGCGCCAAGGGAGGCAGGCCUGAAGAUGGAGGAAGGAACUUGGUUAAAUACUUACGCUCUUUUGCGCCUCACAGCAGCCGGGUGGAGACCGCAGCGCAGGCCUCCGCAGGGCUUAGGUUGCAGAAAGCCAGCAGGUAGUGGGAGACCCUGAAAUUCUAGACUCCUGUCUUUGCUCAUGAGUUUCCUAAUGGUUAAUCACAGAAGAACUUCCGAGAAAGAGUAUUGGGGAAGCUAGCUGGGAAGGGCCAGCUCAGGGAGAAGGGUUAAAGGAGGCAGGGAGACAGGGGAUGUCAUCUGGGAGCAAGGAAGAGGCAGAGGGCCCACUUGUGUGAGAGGCCACCAGACUUAGAUUCCCUUUUCAGUUCCAGUGGAUCUUACCAGCUGGAUGGCCUCGGGGAAGUUACUUAGCAUCUCAGGGCUCCCUUGCAAAAUGAGUUACAAUAUGUACUGCGCGUACCUGAAAGUGUUGGUCUUGUACUCGGUGGGCAACAAUCAGGUUUCUUGAAAAGAGCUGUCAGACCUCUGGGCCCGCUGCCUGGAAUGCCCUUCCCCCACUUCUUGUGGUGCUCUCCAAGUCAUGAAGCUUUUUACAAAUUCUCCACAGUCACUCUCCUUUGGUUAACGAUUUUUGUUGUUGUUCGUUUUUGAAACAAGGUCUCGCUCUGUCACCCGGGCUGGAAUGCAGUGGCAUGAACACAGCUCACUGCAGCCUUUGACCUCAUGGGCUCAAAGGAUCCUCCAGCCCCAGCCUCCGAAGUAGCUAGUAAGGGGUCCCCAUCUACGCCCCAAGAGAGGGUUCUUGGAUUUCCUGCAAGAAAGAAUUCGAGGGGAAUCCAUAGAGUGAAAGCAAGUUUAUUAAGAAAGUAAA